UACGUAGGGUGCGAGCGUUAAUCGGAAUUACUGGGCGUAAAGCGCACGUAGGCGGCUUGGUAUGUCGGGUGUGAAAUCCCCGGGCUCAACCUGGGAACUGCAUCCGAAACUGCCUUGCUAGAGUAUGGGAGAGGGAAGUGGAAUUUCCGGUGUAGCGGUGAAAUGCGUAGAUAUCGGAAGGAACAUCAGUGGCGAAGGCGACUUCCUGGACCAAUACUGACGCUCAGGUGCGAAAGCGUGGGGAGCAAACAGG
rnacentral:rRNA from 1 species